rnacentral:rRNA from 1 species
UACGUAGGGUGCAAGCGUUAAUCGGAAUUACUGGGCGUAAAGCGUGCGCAGGCGGUAAUGUAAGACAGUUGUGAAAUCCCCGGGCUCAACCUGGGAACUGCAUCUGUGACUGCAUUGCUGGAGUACGGCAGAGGGGGGAUGGAAUUCCGCGUGUAGCAGUGAAAUGCGUAGAUAUGCGGAGGAACACCGAUGGCGAAGGCAGCCCCCUGGGCUAACACUGACGCUCAGGCACGAAAGCGUGGGGAGCAAACAGG